rnacentral:rRNA from 1 species
CACGUAGUUAGCCGGGGCUUCUUGCUCAGGUACCGUCAUUUUCUUCCCUGCUGAUAGAGCUUUACAUCACGAAUGACUUCUUCACUCACGCGGCGUUGCUGCAUCAGGGUUUCCCCCAUUGUGCAAUAUUCCCCACUGCUGCCUCCCGUAGGAGUUUGGGCCGUGUCUCAGUCCCAAUGUGGCCGUUCACCCUCUCAGGCCGGCUACUGAUCGUCGCCUUGGUGGGCUUCUACCCCGCCAACCAGCUAAUCAGACGCGGAUCCAUCUUACACCACCGGAGUUUUUCACACUGAGCCAUGCGGCUCCGUGCGCUUAUGCGGUAUUAGCACCUAUUUCUAAGUGUUAUCCCCCAGUGCGAGGCAGGUUAUCCACGCGUUACUCACCCGUCCGCCACUAAGUUACGAAUCACUAGGUUUCAUCGUAACUCCGUUCGACUUGCAUGUGUUAGGCACGCCGCCAGCGUUCAUCCUGAGCCAGGAUCAAACUCU